CGGCGCGUGCGCGGGCCUGUCGCGCGCCGAGCUGGCCGCCGCCGUGUGCGCGCUCUACGCCUGCACCUGCGCCGCGCCGCAGCACAACAAAUGGGAGUGCAGUACGAAUGCCGACGGUGAUCUGGAUAUCAUCAGUGGAGAUGGAGCUUAUUCGUGCCGCAGCAAUUCCCUCUGCCGCUGCGGGCGCGGCGAGGGCGCGGGACUCCCGCGACUUCGAGCGCUGCUAGGACAGUCGCCGGACGCACUGCACACUGACAUGCGAUA